rnacentral:rRNA from 1 species
CCUACGGGAGGCAGCAGUGAGGAAUAUUGGUCAAUGGACGAGAGUCUGAACCAGCCAAGUAGCGUGAAGGAUGACUGCCCUAUGGGUUGUAAACUUCUUUUAUAUGGGAAUAAAAUGUUCCACGUGUGGGAUUUUGUAUGUACCAUAUGAAUAAGGAUCGGCUAACUCCGUGCCAGCAGCCGCGGUAAUACGGAGGAUCCGCGCGUUAUCCGGAUUUAUUGGGUUUAAAGGGAGCGUAGGUGGAUUGUUAAGUCAGUUGUGAAAGUUUGCGGCUCAACCGUAAAAUUGCAGUUGAAACUGGCAGUCUGGAGUACAGUAGAGGUGGGCGGAAUUCGUGGUGUAGCGGUGAAAUGCUUAGAUAUCACGAAGAACUCCGAUUGCGAAGGCAGCUCACUGGACUGCAACUGACACUGAGGCUCGAAAGUGUGGGUAUCAAACAGGAUCAGAUACCCCAGUAGUC